rnacentral:rRNA from 1 species
GAGUUUGAUCCUGGCUCAGGACGAACGCUGGCGGCGUGCUUAACACAUGCAAGUCGAGCGGAAAGGCCCUUCGGGGUACUCGAGCGGCGAACGGGUGAGUAACACGUGAGUAACCUGCCCCUGACUCUGGGAUAAGCCCGGGAAACUGGGUCUAAUACCGGAUAUGACACCUCCUCGCAUGGGGUGGGUGUGGAAAGUUUUUCGGUUGGGGAUGGACUCGCGGCCUAUCAGCUUGUUGGUGGGGUAAUGGCCUACCAAGGCGACGACGGGUAGCCGGCCUGAGAGGGCGACCGGCCACACUGGGACUGAGACACGGCCCAGACUCCUACGGGAGGCAGCAGUGGGGAAUAUUGCGCAAUGGGCGAAAGCCUGACGCAGCGACGCCGCGUGGGGGAUGACGGCCUUCGGGUUGUAAACCUCUUUCAGCAGGGACGAAGUUGACGUGUACCUGCAGAAGAAGCGCCGGCUAACUACGUGCCAGCAGCCGCGGUAAUACGUAGGGCGCAAGCGUUGUCCGGAAUUAUUGGGCGUAAAGAGCUCGUAGGUGGCUUGUCACGUCGGGUGUGAAAGCUUGGGGCUUAACUCCAGGUCUGCAUUCGAUACGGGCUGGCUAGAGGUAGGUAGGGGAGAACGGAAUUCCUGGUGUAGCGGUGAAAUGCGCAGAUAUCAGGAGGAACACCGGUGGCGAAGGCGGUUCUCUGGGCCUUACCUGACGCUGAGGAGCGAAAGCGUGGGGAGCGAACAGGAUUAGAUACCCUGGUAGUCCACGCUGUAAACGUUGGGCGCUAGGUGUGGGGACCUUCCACGGUUUCCGCGCCGUAGCUAACGCAUUAAGCGCCCCGCCUGGGGAGUACGGCCGCAAGGCUAAAACUCAAAGGAAUUGACGGGGGCCCGCACAAGCGGCGGAGCAUGUUGCUUAAUUCGACGCAACGCGAAGAACCUUACCAAGGCUUGACAUUGCCCGGAAACACUCAGAGAUGGGUGCCUCUUCGGAUCGGGUGACAGGUGGUGCAUGGCUGUCGUCAGCUCAUGUCGUGAGAUGUUGGGUUAAGUCCCGCAACGAGCGCAACCCUUGUUCAAUGUUGCCAGCACGCUCCUUCGGGGGUGGUGGGGACUCAUUGGAGACUGCCGGGGUCAACUCGGAGGAAGGUGGGGAUGACGUCAAGUCAUCAUGCCCCUUAUGUCUUGGGCUGCAAACAUGCUACA